rnacentral:rRNA from 1 species
UACGAAGGGGGCUAGCGUUGCUCGGAAUCACUGGGCGUAAAGCGCACGUAGGCGGAUUUCUAAGUCAGGGGUGAAAUCCUGGAGCUCAACUCCAGAACUGCCUUUGAUACUGGAGAUCUCGAGUCCGGAAGAGGUGAGUGGAAUUCCUGGUGUAGCGGUGAAAUGCGCAGAUAUCAGGAAGAACACCAAUGGCGAAAGCAGCUUUCUGGGGCGGUACUGACGCUGAGACGCGAAAGCGUGGGGAGCGAACAGG